GUCCUGUUGUGCCCAACUCAUGAUUUAUCCAGGUCACACCAGUCUGGUCUGUCACAGUAAGAGGGCCACCAGGAAACACACCUUCAGGAAGCACCUUUUCUGUUCUAUCCCAAAGGGCACCAUCACAUACACUAUAAUAUGAAUCAUGACCCCCGGAGUUGUGUGGAGUUUCUGCAUCUCUCCCUCCCCACUGUGGCUACCCUCAUCCAGCAACCAUCCUGUCUCUCACCGGUAUUACCGCAGCUGAGACCCAGGUCUUAAGGAAGCUGAGACCCAGGCCAGCAGGGGCCUCACAGGUAGAAUGAAGGCUUGGAAAAAGAGGAGGGUGUAAGACUCUGGAUGAAGCUGAGAGAUCCUUCCAUGCUUGGCUGAGAGACUACACAGACAUGAGCUUCAGGAGACUCCAAAGCCUCGGAUCCCCUUCUAAACUAGCACUGAAUUCUGAUUGGCUGUCUUUGCCUGCCUCAGUUUGUUCCUUUUACUGAUUGGCUAGGUUCUUCUGCCCAUGGCAGAGCCCUGCUCCAGCCACCGGAUCCUCCCACCUGCCACAGUGUCACCUGGGAUUGGCUGGGCUCUGAAAGGCCAGGCUGGCUUGACUCUUGCCAUCAUCAGAUUCUUCCUCAUUAAACAAAUGAAUCACAAUCCUAAUUAAUUUGAGCAACAGAAUUUAUGUAACUACUCCCAGCAGGAUGUCUGCUCUCAGUCAGCAGAGAGAUUACUUCCUCUCUCUGGGAAAUUCCAGCCUUGCUGGUCAAUAAGCCUUAAUGAUGACUGAAAUCUCCCAUCUGUCUCUGCUCAGGGCAGGUAACCCCUACUAAGCAGACACCCAGUUGGCUCGAGGCAGUACCCCGGGCACCGGCAGGACAAGGACAACGAUCUCCCAGCCUAGAUGUGUCCUGAGCCACAUGGAGCACACAGAUUACAGGAUCUGACUCCCAUUUGGGCCUUCCACCUCCGCUGGCCUAAGCAGUCAAGUGUCAGAGAGCACUGGACCUAACAGCUCCCUCACCAGAGCAGCUGUGAUUCCUUCUUCAUUUCCAGCAGGGAAGACCCAACAACUUUUAUAAUAUGGGAUUUCUUUUAUUCUCAUGAUAAUAAUGUUCAUUGUGGAAAAUAAAAAAAAAUGAUAAAAUAAAAAUCAGCCAGAAUUCCAACUUCUGGAGAUUUUGGUGUCUUUCUGCAAAGUUCCUAUGCACAUAGAUACUUUAUAAAAUUAUGAACAUACUGUACAUACAGUUUUGGAAUAUGCCUUUUUCCUUCUGUCAUGAAAAAGUCUUCAAAUGCCUUUUAACAGCUACACAAUAGUUCACUACAUGAACCAACUCAAAUGUAACUAUUUUUGGCCUUUUGUUAUAAAUAACACAAGAACCCUCAGUCUUUGUUACAUAAUGUCCUAACAGAGUAGGGGAAAUGCUCCCCAAUCCGGUGCAAUGUCCUGUGCCCAGGGAAACCAAUU
rnacentral:lncRNA from 10 species